rnacentral:misc_RNA from 1 species
CAAUAAGUGUUUAUGGCACUUUCAAAUCCAUACCCACCUUGUGUGCAUUGUAAGGGCCCUUUUCAGCUCGCUUUCUCUCUCUCUGGGAAGAAGGUGAAAAGAGACUGGGCUUCAUUUUCUCACACGUCUUUAAUUGCAAGUCUAACAUUCAGAGUAAUCAAAACUCGAAUA